rnacentral:rRNA from 1 species
CGGCAGACGGCUCAGUAACACGUAGUNAANCUGCCCUCAGGUAGGGGAUAAUCCUGGGAAACUGGGGCUAAUACCCUAUAGGGAAUGGAUACUGGAACGUUCCUUUCCCCAAAGGCAACGCCUGAGGAUGGGACUGCGGCGGAUUAGGCUGUUGUUGGGGUAAAGGCCCAACAAACCUAUAAUCCGUACGGGCGUUGAGAGACGUAGCCCGGAGAUGGGCUCUGAGACAAGAGCCCAGGCCCUACGGGGCGCAGCAGUCGCGAAACCUUUACAAUGGCCUCACGGCCGAUAGGGGGAUCCAGAGUGGCUGCACUUUGUGCAGUCUUUUGCCGAGUCUAAACAGCUCGGAGAAUAAGGGGUGGGCAAUANNAGUGCCAGCCGCCACGGUAAUACUCGAGCCCCAAGUGGUGACCGCCUUUAUUGGGCCUAAAGCGUUCGUAGCCGGCCCGGUAAGUCCCUGGUGAAAUCCUGCGUUGAGCGUGGGGUGUGCUAGGGAAACUACCGGGCUUGGGACCGGGAG